CUCCUUCCAUAUAAAAAUAAAAGGAAAAAAAACAUGUCGCCUUUUCUUCAGCCCCGAGCAGCCGCGCCACCAGAGCUCGCGAACCUUGCCGACACCUCGACUCCUCCGUCUCUGGGACAUCGGGACAUCGCCGGCAUGCGGAACGAAGCCGCCCCAACUGGAUCCACGUCCACCGCCAUCGCCCGCUCUCCCGCCAUUCUUCCUCACCUCAAAUUGGUCGCGCCGGUAGCCGUCGUUGCCAGAUCCUACCUUGGUCGCCCACUGGAAGAUCCAGCACCCUAUGCAUUGCCACAUCGCGCCUCUCACCGUCGAGGGCGGCAGGAACGACGGAGUCGUGCAUGUGUCGGCUCCUAUGUGGUGCGUGCGGAGCCACUGGCUCACGGAACGACUGCAGGCCUGGAGCACCCCCUACCUCGAGCGGCACGCAUGCAUGGUUGGUGUUCGAGACAUCAGAGGAGCUUCAGCAGGUGUCGUUGAUCCAAAAUUACUCCUUCCAGUACAACGUUCCCCAAUGCAAAGUGUCCCUUUAUUUCCCCUGCCCAGCUCCAAUCUUGAUCCUUCCAUGUUUGAUGUAAUGUGUACAGAGAAACAAGGCCGCCGAGCCAAAUUUGCUGAACCAGGCUGCCAAGUUUGAGGUAAAAAAACUCAGCAGGGAAGUAUCUAUCCUGAAUUUUCUGCACUACAUAAAUUUACCCAUAGAAUAUAUCUCUAAUAGUACCCUGUCCAAAAUGUUAGUGUUAUUUCUGCAAUUUUGCAAGCCGAAUUUGUGCCAAGUGCAUUGCUUAAUAUAUCUCUAAUAGUAUAUGUCCAUUGCUAUUUCCGAGAUCUUCAAUCAAUUUCUAUUACAACAAAAAAAUGAUCCCUAUCAACAUAUAUAGUAUGCACUGGGAAAUCAUGAUUCAUGGGCAGCUGAUAUAUACAAUGGUUGAUAACAAUUACUUUAGGGUCUCCAUUCUACUAUUUUUUUUACAUACUCAACAAAUUUGUGACAUCUUAUCUGGUAGAGAAAACAGUCCGAGAUAUUCUGUUCUUACCUACACAUAAUUCCGUAUUGAUGACUUAGCAUUCAACAUGAUUCAGUUUCUAGCCUGUAUACAUUAGUAUUAUUAUGAGCCGCCUAAAAAGUUUUUGGGCUUUUAGUUUCAGUUAUAGUCAUGGACUGGGCACAAUUCACAGAAUAAGAAAAUGUAUCAAGCAUUAAUUUUAUAUGCGUGAAGCAUUUUACAAUGAAACGUUAUUCAGAUCUCUCUUUCAGAUCUCUCUUACAGAUUUCUCUUACAUGAAAAUUCUAAACAUUAUUCAGUACUGAGGACCAAAUUUAGAAAAUUCUAAACGAGUGGUGAGUUCAAUCAGGUGAAAAAUUGUAGGUCGAACAUGAAAGGAUGCACAUUCGUUUUUGAAGUUGAAAAUAACGUUUCAUGAAGCAAACUUGAGGUAUCAAUCAUGUCUCACUUUUUUUAUUUGUAUAAUUGGUUGACAUAUGAGAUGCCUUAGGUUGUCUCACAGUGAUACUCAUGAUUUUUUGCUGUGCAAAAAAAUACCUACAGUACAAGAAAUUAUAAGAAGUAAAUAGCAUCAAAACGAAACCAUCGUUGCUUUUUUUGGAUGGAAAUAGGUGAGAUCUAUUAAGCAAUAAUAGGGUUAGGAAUGAUGGUUGCUAAUAACUAUACAUUUUUAUGGAUAGUCAUAUACCUGGAUGUCAUCCUUCAAACACGAAUACCUGAAUUCUUAUAGCACAUAAAUGAUAUUGUUUAGUUCUCCUUUCUAGAGUCUCUUUUGCGUCAUGGUAUAUCUGUUAUCAAGAAUGAUGCUCAGAAAAUUCUUCGUUCCAUGCCAAAUGACAUUUGUUUCGACUUGAUAACACCAGGUAACAUGGUGGAUGUCGCAACACACAAUAGUUAAACUGUAGCGACAUAGAUAUAUGAAAGGGCAAAUCAUCUUAGCUAUAGUGUAUGGAAAAAAGAGCAUAGAUUAAUGAUGCUGAGAGCUAGCUCUUGCCGCAUUAUCAUCUAUCUAUAGCUUUCAAGGACCAGUAAUUGUACGAUUGUAUCAUGUGAUUGGUACUACAAAAUUGACAAUCUUUGUGUAUUAAUAUCUUAAUUUCAAGAUGAAUUGGAGAAGGGAGUCUGCUCUACGUUUUCUAAUCUAUCAGUCAAUGUGUAAAUCUGGUAUUGAUGUACAGUUAUUAAGAAAGUUUCCUUUUACAGAUAUUCUGCUAAUGAUAGGAAGCGUGGUUUAAAACUGCUCUGGCUGGAGUUGUAUGCUUUGUGACUGAAGACUAGAGCUUGGUGUCAUGGUGACUUGCAGCCACUCCUGAUGGUCCUACCACCCAGCUUUUACUCUCUCAAAUUUCCUUAUUUUCAUAUUAACACUGCUAUUGGGGUCAAUCUAUGUUGUUUACUGCUCUAAUCAAGCUAUUGCUAGGAUUCCAUGUUUCCUACAUUGUAUUAUGCUGAUCAUUAGUAAUUCAACCUACAUUGUAUUAUACUGGUCAUUAGUGGAAUGUUGAUUCUGUGAUAA